UCAAUGAAAUCGAGUAGGACGGAGCACGAGAAACUUUGUCUGAAUAUGGGGGGACCAUCCUCCAAGGCUAAAUACUACUGACUGACCGAUAGUGAACCAGUACCGUGAGGGAAAGGCGAAAAGAACCCCGGAGAGGGGAGUGAAAUAGAACCUGAAACCGUAUGCGUACAAGCAGUGGGAGCCUACUUUGUUAGGUGACUGCGUACCUUUUGUAUAAUGGGUCAGCGACUUAUAUUCAGUGGCGAGCUUAACCGAAUAGGGGAGGCGUAGCGAAAGCGAGUCUUAAUAGGGCGUUUAGUCGCUGGGUAUAGACCCGAAACCGGGCGAUCUAUCCAUGGGCAGGUUGAAGGUUAGGUAACACUGACUGGAGGACCGAACCGACUACCGUUGAAAAGUUAGCGGAUGACCUGUGGAUCGGAGUGAAAGGCUAAUCAAGCUCGGAGAUAGCUGGUUCUCCUCGAAAGCUAUUUAGGUAGCGCCUCAUGUAUCACUGUAGGGGGUAGAGCACUGUUUCGGCUAGGGGGUCAUCCCGACUUACCAAACCGAUGCAAACUCCGAAUACCUACAAGUGCCGAGCAUGGGAGACACACGGCGGGUGCUAACGUCCGUCGUGAAAAGGGAAACAACCCAGACCGUCAGCUAAGGUCCCAAAGUCAUGGUUAAGUGGGAAACGAUGUGGGAAGGCUUAGACAGCUAGGAGGUUGGCUUAGAAGCAGCCACCCUUUAAAGAAAGCGUAAUAGCUCACUAGUCGAGUCGGCCUGCGCGGAAGAUGUAACGGGGCUCAAACCAUGCACCGAAGCUACGGGUAUCACCUUAUGGUGAUGCGGUAGAGGAGCGUUCUGUAAGCCUGUGAAGGUGAGUUGAGAAGCUUGCUGGAGGUAUCAGAAGUGCGAAUGCUGACAUGAGUAACGACAAUGCGAGUGAAAAACUCGCACGCCGAAAGACCAAGGUUUCCUGCGCAACGUUAAUCGACGCAGGGUUAGUCGGUCCCUAAGGCGAGGCUGAAAAGCGUAGUCGAUGGAAAACAGGUUAAUAUUCCUGUACUUCCAGUUAUUGCGAUGGAGGGACGGAGAAGGUUAGGCCAGCCUGGCGUUGGUUGUCCAGGUUUAAGGUGGUAGGCUGAAAUCUUAGGCAAAUCCGGGAUUUCAAGGCCGAGAGCUGAUGACGAGUUGCCUU
rnacentral:rRNA from 1 species